GACGAACGCUGGCGGCGUGCUUAACACAUGCAAGUCGAACGAAGAGCGAUGGAAGCUUGCUUCUAUCAAUCUUAGUGGCGAACGGGUGAGUAACGCGUAAUCAACCUGCCCUUCAGAGGGGGACAACAGUUGGAAACGACUGCUAAUACCGCAUACGAUCUAAUCUCGGCAUCGAGGAAAGAUGAAAGGUGGCCUCUAUUUAUAAGCUAUCACUGAAGGAGGGGAUUGCGUCUGAUUAGCUAGUUGGAGGGGUAACGGCCCACCAAGGCGAUGAUCAGUAGCCGGUCUGAGAGGAUGAACGGCCACAUUGGGACUGAGACACGGCCCAGACUCCUACGGGAGGCAGCAGUGGGGAAUCUUCCGCAAUGGACGAAAGUCUGACGGAGCAACGCCGCGUGAGUGAUGACGGCCUUCGGGUUGUAAAGCUCUGUUAAUCGGGACGAAAGGCCUUCUUGCGAACAGUAGAAGGAUUGACGGUACCCGAAAA
rnacentral:rRNA from 1 species